rnacentral:rRNA from 1 species
GUGGGGAAUCUUGCGCAAUGGGCGAAAGCCUGACGCAGCCAUGCCGCGUGAAUGAUGAAGGUCUUAGGAUUGUAAAAUUCUUUCACCGGGGACGAUAAUGACGGUACCCGGAGAAGAAGCUCCGGCUAACUUCGUGCCAGCAGCCGCGGUAAUACGAAGGGGGCUAGCGUUGCUCGGAAUUACUGGGCGUAAAGGGCGCGUAGGCGGACAGCUUAGUCAGAGGUGAAAGCCCAGGGCUCAACCUUGGAAUUGCCUUUGAUACUGGCUGUCUUGAGUGUGGGGGGGGUGAGUGGAACUCCGAGUGUAGAGGUGAAAUUCGUAGAUAUUCGGAAGAACACCAGUGGCGAAGGCGACUCACUGGCCCAAUACUGACGCUGAGGCGCGAAAGCGUGGGGAGCAAACAGGAUUAGAAACCCGUGUAGUCC